rfam:Canis lupus familiaris chromosome 24, whole genome shotgun sequence.
GGGGGGAGGCCGGAUCCUGGGCUGUGUCCCGGCGCCCUGUACUCCGGGGCCUGCGCUGUUGGAUUCGUGCUCCUGGCCCGGCAGCCCCCU